AGGUUGCGUGUCGACUGCAAGUCGAGCGGACAGAUGGGAGCUUGCUCCCUGAUGUUAGCGGCGGACGGGUGAGUAACACGUGGGUAACCUGCCUGUAAGACUGGGAUAACUCCGGGAAACCGGGGCUAAUACCGGAUGGUUGUUUGAACCGCAUGGUUCAAACAUAAAAGGUGGCUUCGGCUACCACUUACAGAUGGACCCGCGGCGCAUUAGCUAGUUGGUGAGGUAACGGCUCACCAAGGCAACGAUGCGUAGCCGACCUGAGAGGGUGAUCGGCCACACUGGGACUGAGACACGGCCCAGACUCCUACGGGAGGCAGCAGUAGGGAAUCUUCCGCAAUGGACGAAAGUCUGACGGAGCAACGCCGCGUGAGUGAUGAAGGUUUUCGGAUCGUAAAGCUCUGUUGUUAGGGAAGAACAAGUACCGUUCGAAUAGGGCGGUACCUUGACGGUACCUAACCAGAAAGCCACGGCUAACUACGUGCCAGCAGCCGCGGUAAUACGUAGGUGGCAAGCGUUGUCCGGAAUUAUUGGGCGUAAAGGGCUCGCAGGCGGUUUCUUAAGUCUGAUGUGAAAGCCCCCGGCUCAACCGGGGAGGGUCAUUGGAAACUGGGGAACUUGAGUGCAGAAGAGGAGAGUGGAAUUCCACGUGUAGCGGUGAAAUGCGUAUAGAUGUGGGAGGAACACCAGUGGCGAAAGCGAUUCUCUGGUCUGUAACUGACGCUGAGGAGCGAAAUCGUGGGGAGCGAACACG
rnacentral:rRNA from 1 species